rnacentral:rRNA from 1 species
CCUACGGGAGACAGCAGUGAGGAAUAUUGGUCAAUGGGCGCGAGCCUGAACCAGCCAAGUCGCGUGAGGGAAGACGGUCCUAUGGAUUGUAAACCUCUUUUGUCGGGGAGCAAAAGACGCCACGCGUGGCGUUCCGAGAGUACCCGAAGAAAAAGCAUCGGCAAACUCCGUGCCAGCAGCCGCGGUAAUACGGAGGAUGCGAGCGUUAUCCGGAUUUAUUGGGUUUAAGGGGUGCGCAGGCGGAAGAUCAAGUCAGAGGUAAAAUUGAGAGGCUCAACCUCUUCGAGCCGUUGAAACUGGUUAUCUUGAGUAAGUUAGAGGUAAGCGGAAUGCGUGGUGUAGCGGUGAAAGGAAUAGAUAUCACGCAGAACUCCGAUUGCGAAGGCAGCAUACCGGCGCUCAACUGACGCUCAUGCACGAAAGUGUGGGUAUCGAACAGGAUUAGAUACCCUAGUAGUC